rnacentral:rRNA from 1 species
GCGUGAGUGAUGAAGGCCUUAGGGUUGUAAAGCUCUUUCGGCGGGGACGAUGAUGACGGUACCCGCAGAAGAAGCCCCGGCUAACUUCGUGCCAGCAGCCGCGGUAAUACGAAGGGGGCAAGCGUUGUUCGGAAUUACUGGGCGUAAAGGGCGCGCAGGCGGCCGAUCAAGUCAGAUGUGAAAGCCCCGGGCUCAACCUGGGAAUAGCAUUUGGGACUGAUUGGCUAGAGUUCGGGAGAGGAGAGUGGAAUUCCCAGUGUAGAGGUGAAAUUCGU